AGAAUGAACGCUGGCGGCGUGCUUAACACAUGCAAGUCGCGCGCGAAAGGGGCUUCGGCCCCCGGUAGAGCGGCGAACGGGUGAGUAACACGUGGGUAAUCUGUCUGGGAGCGGGGGACAACCUGGGGAAACUUGGGCUAAUACCGCAUACGUCCGUCGGACUUCGGUUCGGCGAGGAAAGGUGGCCUCUGCUUGCAAGCCACCACUCCCAGAGGAGCCCGCGCCUGAUUAGCUAGUUGGUAGGGUAACGGCCUACCAAGGCGACGAUCAGUAG
rnacentral:rRNA from 1 species